rnacentral:rRNA from 1 species
UUAGUGGCGAACGGCCGCGUAACACGUGGGCAACCUGCCCUGAAGCGGGGGACAACAGCUUGAAAGAGCUGCUAAUACCGCAUGUGUCUAUUAGAUGGCAUCAUUUAAUAAACAAAGCCGCAAGGCACUUCAGGAUGGGCCCGCGGCCUAUCAGCUAGUUGGUGAGGUAAUGGCUCACCAAGGCUUCGACGGGUAGCUGGUCUGAGAGGACGAUCAGCCGGAUUGGGACUGAGAUACGGCCCAGACUCCUACGGGGGGCAGCAAUUAGGAAUCUUGCACAAUGGGCGAAAGCCUGAUGCAGCGACGUCGCGUGAAGGAUGAAAUCUUUCGGGAUGUAAACUUCUUUUUUCGGGGAAGAAAUAAAUGACGGUACCCGGAGAAUAAGCCCCGGCUAACUACGUGCCAGCAGCCGCGGUAAUACGUAGGGGGCGAGCGUUGUCCGAAGUUACUGGGCGUAAAGAGCGCGUAGGCGGGUUCUUAAGGGAGGGGUGAAAUUCCGGUACUCAACCCCGGAACUGCCU